rnacentral:rRNA from 1 species
CGAACGCUGGCGGCGUGCCUAACACAUGCAAGUCGAACGGUAAGGCCCCUUCGGGGGUACACGAGUGGCGAACGGGUGAGUAACACGUGAGCAACCUGCCCCUGACUUUGGAAUAACAGUUGGAAACAGCUGCUAAUACUGGAUAUGACUCGGCCCUGCAUGGGGUUGGGUGGAAAGCUCCGGCGGUCAGGGAUGGGCUCGCGGCCUAUCAGCUAGUUGGUGAGGUAAUGGCUCACCAAGGCUUCGACGGGUAGCCGGCCUGAGAGGGCGACCGGCCACACUGGGACUGAGAUACGGCCCAGACUCCUACGGGAGGCAGCAGUGGGGAAUAUUGCACAAUGGGCGAAAGCCUGAUGCAGCAACGCCGCGUGCGGGAUGACGGCCUUCGGGUUGUAAACCGCUUUCACCCAUGGCGAAGCGAGAGUGACGGUAGUGGGAGAAGAAGCACCGGCCAACUACGU